rnacentral:rRNA from 1 species
AUGGACAGCUCCCCGAGACCUCAGUACCUCGAGGAUCAAGAAGCCCAGACCAAGGCAGGCGGAAAGCGAGGAGGGUGGAUAACUCUUCCCUUCAUAGUUGCCACCAUGCUUGGGCUGGGACUGGCCGUCAACGGGACGACCAGCAACAUGCUGGUGUACCUGCUCAAGGAGUACCACGUGGACGGCGUCAAAGCCGCGCAGAUCGCCAACGUCGUCCGCGGCUCCCUCAACCUCGUGCCCAUCGCCGGCGCUGUCCUCUCCGACUCCUACCUCGGCUGCUUCCCCGUCAUCCUCGCCGGCGCCGCCAUCAACGUUCUGGCUUUUGUGUUGUUCACACUCACCGCGGCGCUGCCAUCCCUGAGGCCGCCACACUGCACAUUGUCGUCGGCUGAGUGCCAACAAGGAUCCCCCGGGCAACUCUUUGUGUUGUACGCUGCCAUUUGUCUUCUCGCCAUUGGCGCUGGCGGGACACGUUUCAACAUCGCGACAAUGGGGGCGGACCAGUUCAACAGCACGCACGACAAGGACAGCUUCUUCAACUGGUACUUGGUCUUCCUCUACGCAUCUUUCAUGCUCGGCGACACAGCCAUCGUCUACAUCCAAGACAGUGUGUCAUGGGCGGUGGGCUUUGGUGUUUGCCUCGCCACGACGGCAUUCGGCACAAUCAUGCUUCUUCUAGGCGUGUGUUACUACCGGAUGCCAGCAACAAAGGCCAGCCCAUACACAGAGCUAGCUCGCGUCAUCGUGGCCGCCGUGCGCAAGGGUAGCAUCAAAGUCGGUGGCGCACAAGGCAGUGUGCAGUACAAUGUGGGCGCCGGCGCUGUUGUGGACCCAUCCGGCGAUGGGGCACCAAGUAAAAGCCUAAGAUUUCUGAAUCGAGCCGCCAUGAUCACUACAAGCGACAAAUCAUCCAUUUCCGGGGAUGCGUCAGCUGGCGCCUGGCGGCUGUGCACGGUGCAGCAAGUGGAGGACCUCAAGGCCGUUCUCAGCGUCUUCCCGCUGUGGUCCUCCGGCAUACUGUUGUUCAUGUCGAUCGGCGUGAUGAUCGGCAUGAUCGUCCUGCAGGCGCUUGCCAUGGACCGCUCCGUCGGACCACACUUCAGCAUCCCGGCGGGGUCGGUCGGCGUCAGCUGUCGCAUCUCGUUCAUCUUGGCCACCCUGGUCCUGGACCGCGCCGUCUUCCCUCUCUGGCGCAAGAUCACCGGCGGCACGCCACCGACCCCGCUGCAGCGCGUGGGUAUCGGCCACGUGUUGAACGUGGGGGCCCUGGUCGCCGCCGCACUGGUGGAGCGCCGGAGGCUUGCACAGCCUGGCGUGCCCAUGUCCGUGAUGUGGCUCCUGUUCCCGAUGGGAAUCGCGGGGGUCGGGGAGGCCCUACACUUUCCUGGCAACAUGGCCUUCUACUACCAGGAGUUUCCCAAGACGCUACGGAGCCUGGCUACGGCCAUGGCGCCGAUGCUUGUCGCGCUGGGGUUCUUCUCGAGCACCAUGUUCAUGGAUGUGGUGACGCGGGUCACCGUGUGGCUGCCGGAGAACAUAGACCAUGGGAGGCUGGACAACGUCUACUGGACGCUUGCUGCGGUGGGCACAUUCAACUUUGCCUACUUCCUCGCUUGCGACAGGCGUUACAAGUACCACAACUGCGCGUCGAUGUAG